CUUUCAGCUCAUUCAGUAUGCUCUUGUCUCCUUUUUCAAAAAACAGUUCCCUCUCCUCUCUUGUCUUCUUCUAGGAGCUCUGAUAGGGCACGAUCUUCAUCCACCUUCGAGCUAACGAAACCCAUCUAGUGCCUUCCGUUCACUGUUUGAGUUCCUGGAGCUGUAGUACCUCUUAGUUCAGAUCUGUUUGCUUUUGGUGCUCAAUAUAGAGAUGAGAGAGGUGCGCGAGGUGGAUCUGGGGAUAGCAGCAGUGCGUCUUAAAUUCUCUUGUCUUGAUGGCCUUAGGGGCAGUUUCAUGGUCAUGGGGUCUUUUGUAAUAGCUGUUUAGUGGCAACCCCUUUUGCUAAACUGUUAACUUUUCUUUACGUUUCGUUUUGGCAUGGUGGUAUGCCAAAUUUAGUUUUCAUAGUAAAAUUCUGGAUGACUGUAACAGUUACCUUUCCUACGUUUUAUGUUCAUCUGAGUGCUUCUCAUUA